UCGUCCGCCCUGGGUUAGUCGGGACCUAAGCUGAGGCCGAAAGGCGUAGGUGAUGGACAACAGGUUGAUAUUCCUGUACUACCGAUAACCGUUUGAGAGAAGGGAUGACACAGUAGGAUAAGCUAAGCACACUGUUGGUUAUGUGUGCCCAAGCAUUGAGGCAGUCAAAGUAGGCAAAUCCGCUUUGAUAAUGCUGGGAUGUGAUGGGGAGCGAAAUUUAGUAGCGAAGUAGCUGAUUUCACACUGUCAAGAAAAGUCUCUAUCGAGGUUAAAGGUACCCGUACCGCAAACCGACACAGGUGGGUGAGGAGAGUAUCCUAAGGCCAGCGAGAGAACUGUUGUUAAGGAACUCGGCAAAAUGACCCCGUAACUUAGGGAUAAGGGGUGCCACCAUCAGGUGGCCGCAGAGAAUAGGCCCAAGCGACUGUUUACCAAAAACAUAGGUUUCUGCUAAGUCGCAAGACGAUGUAUAGGAGCUGACGCCUGCCCGGUGCUGGAAGGUUAAGGGGAUCUGUUAGAGCAAUCGAAGCAGUGAACUUAAGCCCCAGUAAACGGCGGCCGUAACUAUAACGGUCCUAAGGUAGCGAAAUUCCUUGUCGGGUAAGUUCCGACCCGCACGAAAGGCGUAACGAUUUGGGCACUGUCUCAACAACAGACUCGGUGAAAUUGUAAUUCCGGUGAAGAUGCCGGAUACCUGCGACAGGACGGAAAGACCCCAUGGAGCUUUACUGUAGCUUGACAUUGGGU
rnacentral:rRNA from 1 species